rnacentral:tRNA from 1 species
ACCAGGAUGGCCGAGUGGUUAAGGUGUUGGACUUAAGUUCCAAUGAGCAAACCCCACUCCUGGUA